ACGGGAGGCAGCAGUGGGGAAUAUUGCACAAUGGGCGCAAGCCUGAUGCAGCGAUGCCGCGUGAGGGAAGAAGGUUUUCGGAUUGUAAACCUCUGUCAACAGGGACGAAAAUGACGGUACCUGUGAAGGAAGCUCCGGCUAAAUACGUGCCAGCAGCCGCGGUAAUACGUAUGGUGCAAGCGUUAUCCGGAUUUACUGGGUGUAAAGGGUGCGUAGGUGGCAUGGCAAGUCUGAAGUGAAAUGCGGGGGCUCAACCCCUGAACUGCUUUGGAAACUGUCAAGCUAGAGUGCAGGAGAGGAAAGCGGAAUUCCUAGUGUAGCGGUGAAAUGCGUAGAUAUUAGGAGGAACACCAGUGGCGAAGGCGGCUUUCUGGACUGUAACUGACACUGAGGCACGAAAGCGUGGGGAGCAAACAGGAUUAGAUACCCUGGUA
rnacentral:rRNA from 1 species